GUGCUCGCUUUGGUAGCAUAUAUAAUAAAUUAGACGAUACAGAGAAGAUUAGCAUGGCCCCUGCACAAGGAUGACAUGCAAAUUUGUGAAGCGUUCCAUAUUUUU
rnacentral:snRNA from 1 species